rnacentral:lncRNA from 1 species
AGUGUGUGGCCGAUAGACAUUCAACUCGUUCCACAUGGUGGUUAACUUCCCAAGGUGCUGCACAAAUAAGUUUCCUUCCUGUUGUAGACCAGCAAUAUCCUUUUUUAAUUGGAACACUCGAGCUACAUUAUUUUGAUUCCCAAACAUUUCUUUGAGAUUUUUCCAAAUGAUGCAGGAGGAUUCAGCAUAGCUGAAAAUUUUUGCAAUCUUUCGAUCCAUA